GACGAACGCUGGCGGCGUGCUUAACACAUGCAAGUCGAACGGAAAGGCCCUGCUUUUGUGGGGUGCUCGAGUGGCGAACGGGUGAGUAACACGUGAGUAACCUGCCCUUGACUUUGGGAUAACUUCAGGAAACUGGGGCUAAUACCGGAUAGGAGCUCCUGCUGCAUGGUGGGGGUUGGACAGUUUCGGCGGUUGGGGAUGGACGCGCGGCUUGUCAGCUUGUUGGUGGGGUAGUGGCUUACCCAGGCGUCGACGGGUCGCCGGCCCGCGCGGGUGCCCGGCCACAGUGGGGCUGAGAUACGGCCCAGACUCCUACGGGAGGCAGCAGUGGGGAAGAUUGCACAAUGGGCGGAAGCCUGAUGCAGCAACGCCGCGUGCGGGAUGACGGCCUUCGGGUUGUAAACCGCUUUCGCCUGUGACGAAGCGUGAGUGACGGUAAUGGGUAAAGAAGCACCGGCUAACUACGUG
rnacentral:rRNA from 1 species